GACAGAGGGGGCAAGCGUUGUUCGGAGUUACUGGGCGUAAAGAGUAUGUAGGCGGUUGGGUAAGUUUGGUGUGAAAUCUCCCGGCUUAACUGGGAGGGUGCGCUAAAGACUGCCUGGCUCGAGUGUGGGAGAGGAAAGCGGAAUUCCUGGUGUAGCGGUGAAAUGCGUAGAUAUCAGGAGGAACACCUGCGGUGUAGACGGCUUUCUGGACCAUAACUGACGCUGAGAUACGAAAGCGUGGGUAGCAAACAGG
rnacentral:rRNA from 1 species